CCCACACCGUCCGAGCGUUCCAUGUGCGGCUGGAUCUGGCGUCUAGCUGCCGGAUCCACCGCGGAUAGCAACAUCGCCUGCUACCUCCUCUCCGACUCCAACCACCACACCACCUCUACUCCAUCCAGCCGUCCCGUCCACUGCCAGAACCAGCAAUCUCGCUGUCGGAUUGGUGGCGGUGGUUCCUCAUGGUUCAGUCUCCUCCCGAUGACGCGUCGGGGGCUGGUUCCAGGCGGACAUCAGCCAGCCCACAGUUAGCGCUCUCAUCUCACGCCCGUCUUCCCCAUCGAUGGCACGGGUCUCCUCAAGGAGGACAACACCGACACUGCUAGGUAUGGUGAACGCAACCAGGGCGACGGGCCACUUCUUCGUCUCUAGCUCCGCUGUGCAGGAUCAUUUGCUGCCUGUACCAGAGUGUGAAUGACAUCAUCGACUUCUACCUCCUCCAUCUCAAGGACAAAUCUCUUGCAACCCAUGGUGCUGCAUUUGAAGUGUUCAUUUGUAAUCUGGUAGUGAUUAUUAUCUGUGUAAUGUAUGAUGUUUUGGAUUUCUUUUGUAAAUGUUGGCAAUGUGGCUUUAGUGUUGUACCAGUGAUGGUUGUUGUAAUUGAAUGAAACAAUUUAAUAGAAAAUUGUGGGCUUGGCAAAAUUAUGUGUCCUGUUGAUGGAAAAUAAUUGGAUGUGAAAAUUUGUA